AUGUUGCUGGACUCCCCUCUUGAAGGCAAAUGGCCUCGUCCAACCCCCUCCUCCUCCUUUCACACACUGACCGCUUUCUGUCUGUCUCCUCAAUGGUCUCGCCCAUUUUUCAAAGCCACGCCCCCUUCGAACGGAAUGGCCUCGCCCAGCUCCCACUCGAUUGUGUCCAGUGACAGCAUCAGGCGGCGCCCUGGGCGAAACCAAGUCCCCGCGCACGAGAGGGGGAGCGAGGUCUCCAGGACCGGAGUUGGCGGGGGGCAUCUGUUGCCCCUGUAAUGGCUUCAGAUUUGGGAAAUGACCCUAUAUUGGAUCCUCCAUCUGUACCUCGGGCACCUCUGGUAAAGUAACUUAUUAUGGUGUUGGGAGGCAGUGAUUAGUCCUUUGUGUCCCACUGCCCUGAAUCCCUUCGGGGAGAUAGGACGGUAUAAAAAUAAAGUUUUACCAUGAUAAUGAUUAUUAUUUUGCUUUGAUUGUGUAUUUCCUGAAUGGCAAAGUUUUGGACUGGAUGGUUCUCGUAGUCUCUUCCAGUUCUGUGAUUGUAAAGUUGCAUGGGAGAAGCAACUGUCAUAAAUGAUUUGUAAAAACUGGAUAUACAUCAAACUGACAGCGUCUCUCAUCUCUCGGCUUCCCCAGAAAAAAGCGAACAGAAAGGGAGGUUUGCCAGAGGCCAAGAGGAAAGGACGGGCCAAGCGGUUGAACAAAGAUGCGGAGGAACUGCUUGCGAGCAUGCAGCGGUUGGUAGGUUAAGCCCUGGGAAAGCACUCUGGAGUUCUUCCUUGACUCUAAAAGAGAGGAGAAAGUAAGAAGGAUGCAAGGGUUAUAAAAGCUGACUUCCAGAAUCACCCAUCCAGUAUGGCAGUGGUCAUGAUGCUUGAGGGAUUCUAGGGACUGUCACAAAAGAAGUAUUUCCAAUAGCAGUGUAAGUAAAAUCUUUCAGUGACAAUGUCAGCAACACUGGAUGAGGCAGUUUUAACAUUUUUCAAUUUUUGGGGAGCUGUUUUUUUUUAAAGAGAGGCGUUAGUUAAUGUUCUGUCACGUGCUGGGCCUGUAAAUUUGUCUUUAUGACCAGCGGGAAGUCAGGGCACCUCAGUGAAAGGUUCUUGAGGAUUUUCCUGAAAAGGAUAGUCCUUUGAGUCUUUAAUAAGAUAACAAAGUCUUUAUUGUUGAACAAAUAACAAAUCUUCAAGGAAUCAAAUAACACUUCAAGGUUUCCUUAACAGACUGUUGGCCCUUUCAGUCUUGUCCCCAAGGGACAGGCGAUUGGCUUUGGAUAACUGUGAAAACCCUCUUAUAACCUCUUCCAGGUUGUCUAUCAUAUGGGCCUAGCUGAUGUGAGACCCACUACUGAUUCCAAGUGCGUCUGGGUAUCGCGUGGACCUACCAACAAAGGCUUGUGGAUGUUUCAGCUUGGGUUCCAUGGAUCCGUGGUGCCAUUCUCUCUCUGAGAUUUCUUUGGAAACUCUAAGGCUGUUUCCCUCAGGAGUUGUGAGGCUGAGAGGCUGUAAGCUCUCAGACAGAGCCUUUGGGACCUUUUCCCCUGGAAUUUCCGUUUCUGUUUUCUCGGAUGUUCUAUAUCCCCGGAUGUUAAUGAGAUAUGAAACUUUUCUACAGGACGAGCUGGUCUACGUCCUAUAGCUUAGCUUCCUUAGUGAGACUAACUUAAAAAUGGCUCCUUCCCUUUCAGAGCCCUGAACAAGGGGCGGAACCAAACUUGAUGAUUGACAGGCGGCCCUACAUGCUACGAUCAGAUCUCAGGUUUUCUGCAUUAAACUGGAUUAUAUGAGUCCCCACUGCCAGAUAAUCUGGGAUAAACAGAAAACCUGAAAUAAGAUCCUGGGAUAAAGGGCCUGUCUGGAAGGACCCUAUGCCCUUUUGCUCAGGGGUAAUGAAAAGAUACAUUAUACAUAUGCACAGAAAUACCUUUCUUUAUUGUGCUCCACAACAAAAUGUUGUUGAUCAGGGUGCACCUGAUCAGAAUGACAGCCAGCUGUGCCCUUUGCCUUUCCAUUUCCCCUCAUUCAGGUUUUCUGCCCCACAAGUAAGUCAGCAAUCAGCUUUUGUGAAUGGUGGUCAGCCUUUGUGAAUGAUGGAUGGUGUCAUUUUGCUACAUAAACAAUGGCCUUCAGAAAAUAAAUCGCUUUUGGCCCCAUCCUCUGUCAUAUAAAGAAGUUUCAUAAUGCAGUUUAAUUGCAUUAUGUGGUAGUGUAGAUGGGGCAGGCUUACUGUUAGUAUAGAGCAUGCUUCUUAAGCUACAUGUUCUGACCUACAAUGCCUUAGCUCAAUGUUGGGGUUACAGAAUAUUUGGCAAUAGUAACAGGUUUCUGAACGCCCCCCAUUUGCACAAAUCUAUUAGCAACAAAUUGGAGUAUUUACAGUGGUCUCUGUAGAAAAAUGCUUCAGCUGUACUUUAUAAAAAGGGAAAUCGGCUGUCUUCGCAAGCUUUGCAAAUGCUGGUUUAUUAUCAGCAUAUUUGUUGAUUUGUAUACCUACUUUCUAUACCUGGAGCCGCCAGUGGCACAGCAGAUUAAACCCUGAGCUGCUGAACUUGCUGACUGAAAGGUCGGCGGUUUGAAUCCGGGGAGCAGAGUGAGCUUCUACUAUUAGCCCCAGCUUCUGCCAACCUAGCAGUUUGAAAACAUGCAAAUGUAAGUAGAUCAAUAGGUACCGCACUGGCGGGAAGGUAAUGGAGCUCCAUGCAGUUAUGCCGGCCACAUGACCUUGGAGGUGUCUUUGGACAACACCAGCUCUUUGGCUUAGAAAUGGAGAUGAGCACCAACCCCCAGAGUCGGACACGACUGGACUUAAUGUUAGGGAAAACCUUUACCUUUACCUGUGGCCAUGCAAAAUGUUCUUGGGCAGAAAGGGAUUGCAAGUGGAAAAAGGUUUACAAAGCCCUGCUUUUUGAGAAGGGAAAGCAAGAUGUGACCUCAAGUGGAUGAGAUGUAAAAAAAAAAUUAGAAAAGGAAGAUUAGUGCUAAAAGACAUUAUUUUCCUAUUCAUACCCUGUUUAAUAUUGUUUUUUCGUACCAGGAUCUCACAACAGAAUGUACAGUGCCAGUAGGAACGGGCCUGGUGUUUGAUGAACGGAUGACAGAGUUUUGCUGUCCAUGGGAUGAAAGGUAUUUGGCAUGAAGGAGGGGUUUGUGAUCCUUGACUCUAAUACAGUAGAGUCUCACUUAUCCAAGCUAAAUGGGCCGGCAGAAGCUUGGAUAAGUGAAUAUCUUGGAUAAUAAGAAGGGAUUAAGGAAAAGCCUAUUAAACAUCAAAUUAGGUUAAGAUUUUACAAAUUAAGCACCAAAACUUCAUGUUAUACAACAAAUUUGACAGAAAAAGUAGUUCAAUACGCAGUAAUGUUAUGUUGUAAUUACUGUAUUUAUGAAUUUAGCACCAAAAUAUCACGAUAUAUUGAAAAUAUUUACUACAAAAAUGGCUUGGAUUAUCCAGAGGCUUGGAUAAGCGAGGCUUGGAUAAGUGAGACUCUACUGUAGUGGAGUUGUAACUUUGAUUAGCUUUCAGGCAGUUCUUUCAGGAGACUUUGGCAUGUUUAUUUUAUCUGAAGCAGACUGAUUUCAAAAGGCAUAAUUAGACAAAUUGAUGGAAGAUCUGUUUGUCUGUUUAUAUCUUGAGCCAUGGCAGCUUUAUGGGAAAACUGUGGCUGGAGAUAAUAGAUGUUUGAACCAGAUGCUGAAGCCCAAAUAAAGGGAAAGUUGUGGACAUCUGCAGGUCAUGGUUGGAACCAUAUCGUGGAUCUUUGUCAGAUCCAUUGGGAUCUGCUAACAUUGCAACUCCCAUGUUUAGUUCGAGUCAGCAUGUUUAGGAAGGAGCUGAUCAUAGCCAUAAUGUCCAUGUAAUUUUAACCUGCACUUCUAGAUUUAGUUGCUUAUUAUGGAUUUUUGCCCCUAUCAAGCAAUUUUCUCACUCUUAAAUUGUCACUCAUUUCAAGCUUAAAACACAACAAGGCUAAAAGUAAUUAAAGUGGUAGUUUUUCUGAUCAAGAAUUGUAAAAACUUCACAUUGUUAAAAAAUGGAUCCAGAUCCAGGAAUAGUGGGUCUAUUGGAAUUGGUGAAGGUUAAGUUAGUCACAGAUUUCAGUGGAUCUCCUCUAAAUUUGACAAAAUCUGUAUCAAUAAUAAUAAUGAUGCCAUCCCAGGUGACAGUCGGAUUGAUGAAAAACAACAGGAAAAACUCAACCACUAUCAGGACCUCAAGAUUGAACUUCAAAGACUCUGGCAGAAACCAGUGCAGGUGGUCCCGGUGGUGAUCAGCACAUUGGGU
ensembl:lncRNA